rnacentral:rRNA from 1 species
GUAACCUACGGGGGGCAGCAGUGGGGAAUAUUGCACAAUGGGGGAAACCCUGAUGCAGCGACGCCGCGUGAGUGAAGAAGUAUCUCGGUACGUAAAGCUCUAUCAGCAGGGAAGAAAAAAAGUCUUUGGCUUUGGACGGUACCUGACUAAGAAGCCCCGGCUAACUACGUGCCAGCAGCCGCGGUAAUACGUAGGGGGCAAGCGUUAUCCGGAUUUACUGGGUGUAAAGGGAGCGUAGACGGCCGUGCAAGUCUGAUGUGAAAACCCGGGGCUCAACCCCGGGACUGCAUUG